UUUUUUAUGAUGGAAAAUAAAAAAGAAAGCUUGAUCAAAGUUGAUGAUUUUUAUGCUAUUUCACCAAAAUCUCGGAAGAA
rnacentral:snoRNA from 17 species